GGGUCAGUAGGUUGGUCGUGCCACCGGUACGUACUGGUCUCACUGAUUCCUCCUUCCUGAAGAACCGUAAUGCCAUUAAUUUGGUGUUGCGGGGAAACAGGACUGUUACUUUGAAAAAAUCAGAGUGUUUAAAGCAAGCUAACGCUUGAAUACAUUAGCAUGGAAUAAUGAAAUAGGACGAUCGAUCCUAUUUUGUUGGUUUCUAGGAUUGACGUA
rnacentral:rRNA from 1 species